GAGCUGCUGGCGGGGGCGGGGUCUCAGAGGUGAGGCGGGGUCUCGGAGGCGGGGGGCGGGGCCUCGGAGGUGAAGCGGGGUCUCGGAGGCGGGGGGCGGGGCUUCAGAGGCAGGGGUCUCAGAGAAAGGGGUCUCGGAGGUGGAGGCGGGGUCUCGGAGGCGGGGGGCGGGGCCUCAGAGGCGGGGGUCUCAGAGAAAGGGGUCUCGGAGGUGGAGGCGGGGUCUCGGAGGCGGGGCGGGCAUCUCAAAGGCGGGGUUGGGGGGUGUCUCAGAGGCGAGGCGGGGUCCCAG
rnacentral:lncRNA from 1 species